rnacentral:rRNA from 1 species
CAGCCGCCGCGGUAAUACAGAGGAUGCAAGCGUUAUCCGGAAUCACUGGGCAUAAAGCGUCUGUAGGUUGCCUACCAAGUCUGCUGUUAAAGAUCAGGGCCUAACCCUGGGAAAGCAGUGGAAACUAGUAGGCUUGAGUGUGGUAGAGGUAGAGGGAAUUCCUGGUGUAGCGGUGAAAUGCGUAGAUAUUAGGAAGAACACCAAUGGCGAAAGCACUCUACUGGGCCAUAACUGACACUGAGAGACGACAGCUAGGGGAGCAAAUGGGAUUAGAUACCCCAGUAGUCCUAGCCGUAAACGAUGGAUACUAGGUGUUGCACGUAUUAACCCGUGCAGUAUCGUAGCUAAGGCGUUAAGUAUCCCGCCUGGGAAGUACGCUCGCAAGAGUGAAACUCAAAGGAAUUGACGG